rnacentral:rRNA from 1 species
UACGUAGGCAGCGAGCGUUGUUCGGAAUUACUGGGCGUAAAGAGUGUGUAGGCGGUGCUCUAAGUUCGGUGUGAAAUCUCCUGGCUUAACUGGGAGGGUGCGCCGGAAACUGGAGUGCUCGAGCGUGGGAGAGGAAAGCGGAAUUCCUGGUGUAGCGGUGAAAUGCGCAGAUAUCGGGAAGAACACCCGUGGCGAAGGCGGCUCUCUGGGACGGUACUGACGCUGAGACGCGAAAGCGUGGGGAGCGAACAGG